rnacentral:lncRNA from 1 species
AUCCAUGAGAAGAGUCAACUAUCAAAGGCGCAUGAUAGCGGAUUAGGUGGACGAGCCCACAAGUAACACAUGCUCCUCUGUGUCUAUCCUCACUUCCACGCAUAAACACCACUUUUAAAAAAAAAAUCUGCCUUAGAUUUUCUCUCUCUUUAUUUCCAAUAAAAAUAAAAGAAAAAAGCAAAAAAUAUAUAAAUUAAAAAAAAAAAAAAUCAAAGACAGAGAGGAGCAGCAGAGCUGAAUGCGCUCUACUCAUAGCAAAAGAUCCAUACCUCAUAGAUCGUAUCGUCUUCCUUACAGGUAAAUCUCCUUCUCCAUUGGUAUCAGAUUCGCUUCCUAAAGUCUCAAACCUUUCUCCAGUUUUAGGAAAUGGAGAACAAACCGA